rfam:Arabis alpina cultivar Pajares scaff_72325_1_contig_0, whole genome shotgun sequence.
GGUUGUGAUCAUACCAGCACUAAUGCACCGGAUCCCAUCAGAACUCCGCAGUCAAGCGUGCAUGGGCGAGAGUAGUACUAGGAUGGGUGACCUCCUGGGAAGUCCUCGUGUUGCACCCC